CCGACCAACUCCGAGGCCUAGCUAGCCCUGCCGGCAGGCCUGGGCCAAGCAGGGGGUGGGGGGCUGGAGGAGACAGUGCGGGGAGAGGCCCCUGCCAACCCGGAAAGGGUCAGAUAAACAAGGCUGUGUGGCGAGGGAAGAGAAAAGAGAGUGGAGAGAGAGAUCCUUGAGGAUAAAACAGUUGGAAGGAGCAAUGAUUUAUUUUUCCAUGGGGGGAAAUGGGGAGAAGGAAAGAGUAAAUUAAGAAGAGAGAAUGGGAAGAAUUUUCCAGGACUUCUAGGUGCUUUCUGCUAUUCCCCAUUGGACAGAAUUGAGUUGGAUGCUCAGGAAUUAACCAAUUGCUACCAGUGGGAAUGGGAUCAUCUGACUUUGCUUACACCAAUCUGGACUUAAGUCCCAGUCCUGAGGAGUUGGGGUAGACCCUGGACCAAAUCAAUGCUAUUAGCAAAGAAGAGGUUUCCUUUUGUGGCUGAAAUAGAAUUUUUAAAAAAUAUAUUUUAGUACAGCACCUAGAACAAUGGCUACCUCGGCUUCAAGUCCAAAGUGCAUGAAGGUUGAUCCUGGUUUGGGAAGCUUCCAGCCUGGAGUGAUUAAAAUCCAAAGAAGCUUUUCUCCUGGCUCUUCCUGAUGCCAACACGCCUUUUCUCCAUUCAAACAAUAACACCACAUCUCUGAUUAAUGAGAUAAAGGCCAGUCUUCAAACUGGGAUAUGUGUACCCCACAAGACAUAUGGAGACUUCAAAAGGGGUAUUGGGCAUUGAAGCGUUCAAUUGUUUGUCUCCAACUUUCCUCUUAACAAGUUCUUAAAAUUGACCUGCAUCAGAGCACUUUGGGCUCUGGAUUAUUUAUCUUCUACUUCUCCCUUUUCCAUCUUCCUUCUCCUAUGCUACAAAAGAAAGGCACUGCUCUCUCAUCUACAUUUUACUAAAGUGCAUUGCCAGGGAUAUGAAAACCUUGGAAAUAGCUCCAAAGAAUAAUUUCACUGGAUAACACAUUUAUUGAAUGCCUAUUAACUGCAGCACUGUGUACAAUAGCUAAGAAAUAGAAACCACCUAAGUGUCCAUUCACUAAUGAAUGGAUAAAUAAAGUGUGGUACAUAUACACAAUGGGAUACAUUCAGUCAUAAAAAAAAAUCCUGUCAUCUGUGUUAAUGUGGAUGGAGCUAGAGAUUAUAAUGUUAAGUGAAGCAAUCCAGGCCUACAAAAACAAGGACCACACAAUUUUACUCAUAUGGAAUCUAAAAAAGUCAAUCUCAUAGAAGUUGAGAUUGGACUGGUGGUUACCAGAGGCUGGGGGAAGAAUGGGGAAAUGUUGUCAAUGGGUCCUAAGUUGCAGUUAGAUUAAAAGCAAGAAGUUCUAGUGUGCUAUUGGACAGUAAGAUGCCUAUAGAUAACAAUAAUAUACUGUAUGUUUCAGAAAGCUAAAAGAAAGGAUUUUGAAUGUUUUCACCAUAAGGAGAUAGAUAUAUUGAAAUUGAUUUAAGCGUCGCAUAAUGUAUGCAUAUAUUGAAAUACCACACGGUACCAUUAGUAUGUACAAUUUUUGUGUUUUAUGUAUCAAUUUAAAUUUUUAAUUGAAAAACAAUCACAGGUUUUCAGUGGCCAACAUAUAAAUAUGAGUAAAUAUUCUGAUUAUUACGGAUUAUUAACUCUAGAGGCCAGGAAGUUUUGGUAAUGCAAUUCAAAUUAGUGAGCCACUCUGCAAGUAUAAUCCUGAAACAAUUCAUACUCUGGCACUAGCGUAGAAUCUCAUAUGGAGGUUGCACAAGCACACCUGGAGCUUGGAAGAACAUUAUUCUAGGGACAGCCUGCACAUCAUACAUAACCCCUUAGGUUGUGCAACAUAUGGCAGCGCUGUUGUAGUGCAUGCCUACAAUAAAUAUUUACUGAGUAACUACUGUGUGCCAGGCAUCAUGCUAAAAGAUGGAUAAAUCCUAGUAAGCAAAAGGACAUGGCCUGUCCUUGGCUAGGUUCAGGGUCAGUCUCUUGGGGAGGUCAGGUGAGCUUUAUGGGGGCAGGGGAAGGAAGGGAGAUAGGAAAACUUCCAUUCAUGUUUUUGUACCAGCACAGAGAAAACCUGUAAUACAUGUAAGCUGCUAUUAGUAAAAAGUAAUGCUGCCGCUGCUUAUUACUGUUAUCAGUAUUAAUGCUAACCCUAAUUACUGCCAUCAAUAUCACUAGCUAGGUCAUGUGUAUCUUAUUCAAAGUCACCAUUGGAAAAAGCACCAAUCUGGAGGCUGGCCUUUAAUGCCAAGCAGUUUUAAGCACUUGACAUGCUUUGCAUCAUUUACUGCUCACAAUAACUUAGUAUCAUCUCUAUUUUACCAAUUAGGUAACUGAGACCCAGAGAAGUUAAAAAACUUUUUCAAGGACACAAAGCUAUUAAAUGGUGGGGUCAGGAUUUGACCCCAGGUCAUCUGGCUCUAUGAUAGUGAGUUUAUUCUUUUUUUUUUUUUUUGUACCAGGGAUCCAACUCAGGACCUUGAGCUUGUGAGACAGGCGGCGGAACCACUGAGCUAAAUCCCCAGCCCAGUGAGUCUAUUCUUAAUCACAAUGUAAUUAACAAUGAAUAUUUAGAGCACAGUUGAUCUGGAUCAGACUUUAUGCUAGGCUGUUUACCUAGAUUAUGUAAUUUAACUUUCAUAAUCAAGUCACUCUAGUGUGUUAUCCCUAAUUUAUAAAGAAAUGGAGGCAUAAAACAGGUAAGUUAUUUGCCUGACAUUACAAAGCUGGAAAAUGGCAAAGCUAGGAGGUAGAGGCAGCAUUCUGAAGCAGAUCCCCCAAAGAUCAUGUGUAGAGCUCAGCAGCAGGCUUGAAAGCCAGUCCCCACAGCAAUGGCCAGACCCUAUGGUCUUAGUAUAAAUAGGUUUCCCUUCCUUGGGGCCUUCUGGGCCACCUUUUACUCCAUCACUUACAUCACUCACCUGCUAUCAGAAGUGGCCAAUGUCUUAAUGCGCCAUGUAAGUAAGUUCAAACCAUCUUAGCCUAAAAACUUGGGGGAAUGGGGAUGUAGUGCGGUAAGCAGAACACAUGGUUAACAUUUAUAGGCCCUGGAUUCAAUCCCCAGUCUCUAAAUAAUAAUAAUCAAUCAA